GGCGCCAUUAAUCGAAAUCAAGAACACGAGAAGGAGGAUUAAGAUGGAAAGAAAUCAAGAAGAACAUGAUCAGAUCU